ensembl:lncRNA
CGGUAAUAGGUCCUCACUCACGUUAGGUAUACAAUUAUUUUCCUUCUGCCAUGCGUCUGUGAAGGUAUUUUCCAUAAACUUAUUUUGGCUCAGAAUAACCUUUUCUGAUAUGAUCACAUAUCUGUGGCUUAAAGAGAAACAGAAGGCUCAGAACCAUAUCCCAUAUCUCUGGCUGACUGAAGAGACCUCCCAUGCGGGCCCCCAGCAACCCAGCCAUCAGGAGAGGGUGUGUCCGCAGCUGUACAGGAUACGAGGCUGUAGUGUCAAGUGUGUGAACACCUGUUGUAGAGCGCCUGCCGUUCGCACCCACUGCCGCUGAAAGGCGGCGGUUCCGCUGUGUGUCUGUGAAGAGGAGGGGCGUGACUGGAUGUGCACGUGCAUGCGCGUCGGCCAUGGUUCAGUAGCGGGGAGCAGGGCUUGAGCGGAGCGCUGAGAGAGGACUGUGAGGCGGUGAAUAGAAGGAGCUGUCUCUGGGUGCUGAGGACUGUCAGAUUGGCAGCCCCUCCCCCCUCUGGGAAGACACACCUAUUAGGG